GACGGAGGAUGCAAGCGUUUAUCCGGAAUGAUUGGGCGUAAAGCGUCCGCAGGUGGCAGUUCAAGUCUGCUGUCAAAGACCGGGGCUUAACUUCGGAAAGGCAGUGGAAACUGAACAGCUAGAGUAUGGUAGGGGCAGAGGGAAUUCCUGGUGUAGCGGUGAAAUGCGUAGAGAUCAGGAAGAACAUCGGUGGCGAAGGCGCUCUGCUGGACCAUAACUGACACUCAGGGACGAAAGCUAGGGGAGCAAACUGGG
rnacentral:rRNA from 1 species